rnacentral:sRNA from 20 species
CGGUCCGUCCCCCGGAACAACCUGACGGCACACCCCCGGUCCCCGCUACCCUGGCCCCAAAGCCGACAGCCGUCGCACCUGAGGGAGCCCUUACAUG